CAAGCUCCCAGCUCUCUUUAGCUGCAGAACUCCCAUUCCUGCAUGAUGGCUGAGCAGAAUGGCAGGCAAAGACUGGAUUUUUGGGGAGGAGGGCAAGUGCCACUGAGGAUUUCCCAAGGGCCUUAAGGUGGGCCCCAAAACCAGCGAGGAGAGAGGAGGGCAGGAGACCCAAAAAGAAAGUUAGUGGAGCAGAGCUGAGGAACCCAGGCUGCCUGAGCCUCUGGGGCUCUGGGUCUGAAAUGGCUGGGGGGAUGCGCUAGCUGAGAGAGGCAACAGGGUCGUAGAGGCAGAGGGGUCAAAGGGGAGGACAGGAAAGAAGCAGGAGGAACCCGGGAAGGCACCCGACGCCUGCGCACCGCCGGAGAGAGGCCAGGCCCCAGGCUCAGCUAGAGGCAAGCGCACCCGAAGGAGCCAAGCUGAGCAGGACAGAGUCCAGGCCUGGAAAGCCGGCCUGGAGAGCCGGCCUGGUGCACCGGCCAGAGCACCCCGAGGGAUACGAAAGAAGAAAGAAUGCUGGACACAGGUUCUGAGCACCUGAACCGGAUACUGAAGGCUCUGCCAGCCCUCCAGAGCGCUGGCAGUGAAGGACAGAACGGCUCCGCAGAAAGGUACUGGGUAGUGUCUGGGGGAGCCUGGCCUACGAAUUCCACCCACUCACAUACAUCCCUUAGCUCCCCUAGCACCCAGCACAGGCCUCACAUUGCCGACCCUAGAGAGGGCUGCUGCGGGUCGUGGUGUUGGGGGUAGGGGGCAGGGGAGUGUAUUUAUCCACAGGCACCAGGGAUCCAGUUCCUAGCACCACGAAGGCUCGGGAGGUCAGUCCCUCCCGCUGAGCGGCCAAAAGGCA
rnacentral:lncRNA from 1 species